GAUGAACGCUAGCGGGAGGCCUAACACAUGCAAGCCGAGCGGUAUUGUUUCUUCGGAAAUGAGAGAGCGGCGUACGGGUGCGUAACACGUGUGCAACCUGCCUUUAUCUGGGGGAUAGCCUUUCGAAAGGAAGAUUAAUACUCCAUAAUAUAUUGAACGGCAUCGUUUAAUAUUGAAAGCUCCGGCGGAUAGAGAUGGGCACGCGCAAGAUUAGCUAGUUGGUGAGGUAACGGCUCACCAAGGCGAUGAUCUUUAGGGGGCCUGAGAGGGUGAUCCCCCACACUGGUACUGAGACACGGACCAGACUCCUACGGGAGGCAGCAGUGAGGAAUAUUGGUCAAUGGGUGCAAGCCUGAACCAGCCAUCCCGCGUGAAGGACGACUGCCCUAUGGGUUGUAAACUUCUUUUGUAUAGGGAUAAACCUACCCUCGAGAGGGUAGCUGAAGGUACUAUACGAAUAAGCACCGGCUAACUCCGUGCCAGCCGCCGCCGUAACAC
rnacentral:rRNA from 1 species